UGGGUCGGCCAGACGAUCGCGGCACGCAAGUGACGAGGAACGUCCGGGCUCCAUAGAGCAAGGUGGUGGGUAACACCCACCCGGGGAAACCCGCGAGAAAGUGCAACAGAGAGUAAACCGCCACGCAAGUGGUAAGGCUGAAACGGUGGUGUAAGAGACCACCAGCGGGGCGUGUGAGCGCUUCGGCUAGGUAAACCUCACCUGGAGCAAGGCCAGA
rnacentral:RNase_P_RNA from 1 species